rnacentral:rRNA from 1 species
GAUGAACGCUAGCGGCAGGCCUAAUACAUGCAAGUCGAACGGUGUCUUCGGACAUAGUGGCGCACGGGUGCGUAACACGUAUGCAACCUACCUUACAUUGGGGGAUAGCCUUUCGAAAGGGAGAUUAAUACCGCAUAAGACAGUAGCUGGGCAUCCAGCAGCUGUUAAAGAUUUAUCGAUGUAAGCUGGGCAUGCGUCCAAUUAGCUAGUUGGUGAGGUAACGGCUCACCAAGGCAAUGAUUGGUAGGGGAACUGAGAGGUCAAUCCCCCACACUGGCACUGAGAUACGGGCCAGACUCCUACGGGAGGCAGCAGUAGGGAAUAUUGGGCAAUGGACGCAAGUCUGACCCAGCCAUGCCGCGUGCAGGAUGAAGGCGUUAUGCGUUGUAAACUGCUUUUAUACAGGAAGAAACGACUCUUGCGAGAGGCAUUGACGGUACUGUAUGAAUAAGCACCGGCUAACUCCGUGCCAGCAGCCGCCGCAGUAA